UGCUGAUGCCUCAGGAACGGAGACUGGCUAGUUUGAUGCUGCACCUAUCUUACGUUUCGGUCUUCUGCUCACGGAUCCGGCCUUCGCUCUCGGAAUUUUGGAGUUCAACAGCAUUUCAGAAUCGUCGCGUCGGGAAUUAGCUAUGGCGAUGACCACAACCGCCACACCCUUAGGCCUCUCAUCCUCGCAUGCCUUCUUCUCAAGAGAUUCAAAUGCUCUAGGGGCCUCCAAAGUUUCACAGUCUCGGAUUGUAUGGAGAGCUGUUUCAGGUCCACGGGCUCUGUCAAAUGAUUCCGUGGAGGGUGUCUCCAGGAGGGAGGCCACCGUUUCUGCGAUUCUUGCAAGUUUAUCGUUAGCAACAACAAUGGGCUUUGGUGAAGACGCAGUGGCUGUAUCAUCAAGCAGGAGGGCUUUGCGAACCGAGCAGAUUCCAGAGAGCGAAUACAAGACACUUCCCAACGGUCUCAAAUAUUACGAUGUGAAAGUUGGAGGUGGAAAGGCAGCUCAGAAGGGUUCUCGUGUUGCGGUUCACUAUGUAGCCAAAUGGAAAGGCUUGACCUUCAUGACAAGCCGACAGGGCAUGGGUGUUACUGGAGGCACACCAUAUGGGUUUGAUAUUGGGGCUUCAGCAUAUGGAAUUGUCUUAAAAGGUUUGGACUACGGUGUAGAAGGAAUGAGAGUGGGAGGUCAGCGUUUGCUGAUUGUGCCUCCUGAACUAGCAUAUGGUAAUAAGGGCGUCCAGGAGAUCCCUCCGAAUGCGACACUUCAGUUCGAUGUCGAGCUUUUGAGCAUCAAACAAGAUAAUUUCGGGACUCCCGCUAAAAUUGUAGAAGGUUAGAUUCUUCGGAUAGCACAUGGUUUACCUGAUGUAAAAUUUGUACCAUGCGAGUAAGUGCAAUGCGACAGAGUGAAAAAUGUCAACCUCUGGCCUUCCGAAUGUCAGCGACAGCAGCAUCUCUAAGAAGCGCAACAUCAACUGUUCCUGCUACCAUGUGGUACCCAAGCUGCAGCAACUUCGAGGGUGAAUCAUCACUGGUUGCAAAUCCACCCAUAUACACUCCUAAAGACUUCAAAGUUUUCUCAGCUUCCCUGCAAGAAAAAACCAUACAUAAGCCCCUAAAUAAUCAUUCAUCAAAAUAAAACGCUGACAUCAACCUCGAAUAUGUACUCCCAACACUCAACCUUGAAUAUGUAUUCCAGCACAGUUCAAUUCGAAUGCAUUCUGCAA